rnacentral:misc_RNA from 1 species
UCUCCGUUGGUGAACCAGCGGAGGGAUCAUUACUGAGUUUACGCUCUAUAACCCUUUGUGAACCAUACCUCUCUGUUGCCUCGGCGCAGGCUGGGAGCUUCUGUAAACUCCCCCACGCGGACUCACCUCCGCGCGGAGCAGGCCCGCCGGCGGCCCUACCAAACCUCUUGUUUUUACAGUGUCUCCUCUGAGUUACAAACACAAAUGAAUCAAAACUUUCAACAACGGAUCUCUUGGUUCUGGCAUCGAUGAAGAACGCAGC